rnacentral:rRNA from 1 species
UCCUGCCAGUCAUAUGCUUGUCUCAAAGAUUAAGCCAUGCAUGUCUGAGUACAGACCGAUCUAAGGUGAAACCGCGAAUGGCUCAUUAAAUCAGUCAUAAUUCCUUGGAUAGUGAAAAACUUUCCUCGGAUAACUGUGGAAAAUCCAGAGCUAAUACGUGCAACUGAGCUCCGACCUAGACGCGAGUCUUGGGAAGAGCGCAUUUAUUAGAUUCAAAACUGAACGGCGUACUCCUCCGGGAUACGCCGCCUCUUAAAAGUUUGAUGACUCCGGAUAACUUAGCCGAGCGCUACGGUCUUUAGUACCGGCGCCGUAUCUUUCAAGUGUCUGCCUUAUCAGCUUUCGAUUGUAGGUUAAACGCCUACAAUGGCUGUAACGGGUAACGGGGAAUCAGGGUUCGAUUCCGGAGAGGGAGCCUGAGAAACGGCUACCACAUCUAAGGAAGGCAGCAGGCACGCAAAUUACCCACUCCCAGCCCGGGGAGGUAGUGACGAAAAAUAACGAUGCGAGACUCUUCCGAGGCCUCGCAAUCGGAAUGAGUCCAUUUUAAAUCCUUGGACGAGGAUCCAUUGGAGGGCAAGUCUGGUGCCAGCAGCCGCGGUAAUUCCAGCUCCAAUAGCGUAUAUUAAAGUUGCUGCGGUUAAAAAGCUCGUAGUUGGACUUUCUAGAUCCAUUUCGUGGGUGAGUCGCUCUUUGUACUAGCGCUUCGUGCGGUUCCUCGAUGACGUCGUCGCGCGUUUUUCUUUUUCGGCUUCGGUCGGCUAAGAGAUUCCCGACGUAACAGAAUCUUGCGGGCGGCGAGGCGUUGUCUCAGAGUAUAGCUCGCCCGCGUUUGGUACAAUUAAAAUUUUGUCGGCUCGCUCGGAGUGCUCUUUACCGAGUGUUCCAGGGUGGCUGACACGUUCACUUUGAAAAAAUUAGAGUGCUUAAAGCGGGCUUAUUUACGGCCUGAAUGUCUGUGCAUGGAAUGAAGUAACAGGACCUCGAUUCUGUUGUUUUUGUCGGUUUUAUUGAACCGAGGUAAUGAUUAAAAGGGACAGACGGUGGCAUUAGUAUUGCGGCGCUAGAGGUGAAAUUCUUGGACCGUCGCAAGACUAACUACUGCGAAAGCAUUUGCCGAGAAUGUUUUCAUUAAUCAAGAACGAAAGUUAGAGGAUCGAAGGCGAUCAGAUACCGCCCUAGUUCUAACCCUAAACUAUGCUAACUAGCGAUCCGCCGGAGUCAUUCCCACGACCCGGCGGGAAGCCCCAGGGAAACCAAAGUCUUUGAGUUCCGGGGGAAGUAUGGUUGCAAAGCUGAAACUUAAAGGAAUUGACGGAAGGGCACCACCAGGAGUGGAGCCUGCGGCUUAAUUUGACUCAACACGGGAAACCUCACCAGGCCCGGACAUCAUAAGGAUUGACAGGUUGAGAGCUCUUUCUCGAUUUGAUGGGUGGUGGUGCAUGGCCGUUCUUAGUUGGUGGAGUGAUCUGUCUGGUUGAUUCCGAUAACGAACGAGACUCUACCCUACUAACUAGUCGGCGGAUCGUAACCCUGAGAUGGUUAGUUUGCAUAGGAGAGUUUGCCUAAGCGUGCAUUUUCGGUCGAAAGUUUAUAUCUACUAACGUUCGUCGUCGCUAUUCGCGCGCGGCGGGCGUGCAGCUAGGUUAUUCUGGAGAUUCGUCGUGUCGUCGAAGCGGCUUUCUGAUUGCUACUACUACUGGGGGCGUCCGUCGCAAUGUAUCUUCUUAGAGGGAUCAGCGGCGUAUAGCCGCACGAGAAAGAGCAAUAACAGGUCUGUGAUGCCCUUAGAUGUUCUGGGCCGCACGCGCGCUACAAUGUAGGGUACAGCGUGCUUUCCCUCUCCGAAAGGAGCGGGUAACCCGUUGAAACCCCUACCCGAUUGGGAUUGGGGAUUGCAAUUAUUUCCCAUAAACGAGGAAUUCCCAGUAAGCGCGAGUCAUUAACUCGCGCUGAUUACGUCCCUGCCCUUUGUACACACCGCCCGUCGCUACUACCGAUUGAAUGAUUCAGUGAGGGCAUCGGACUGGCCCUUCGGUUUAGUAACCUAGACCUUAGGCUGACGGAAAGAUGUCCGAACUUGAUCAUUAGAGGAAGUAAAAGUCGUACAAGGUUUCCGU